AUCGAACGCUGGCGGCAUGCCUUACACAUGCAAGUCGAACGGUAACAGGUUAAGCUGACGAGUGGCGAACGGGUGAGUAAUGUAUCGGAACGUGCCCAGUCGUGGGGGAUAACUGCUCGAAAGAGCAGCUAAUACCGCAUACGACCUGAGGGUGAAAGCGGGGGAUCGCAAGACCUCGCGCGAUUGGAGCGGCCGAUAUCAGAUUAGGUAGUUGGUGAGGUAAAGGCUCACCAAGCCGACGAUCUGUAGCUGGUCUGAGAGGACGACCAGCCACACUGGGACUGAGACACGGCCCAGACUCCUACGGGAGGCAGCAGUGGGGAAUUUUGGACAAUGGGCGCAAGCCUGAUCCAGCCAUGCCGCGUGCGGGAAGAAGGCCUUCGGGUUGUAAACCGCUUUUGUCAGGGAAGAAAAGGUUCUGGCUAAUACCUGGGACUCAUGACGGUACCUGAAGAAUAAGCACCGGCUAACUACGUG
rnacentral:rRNA from 1 species